rnacentral:rRNA from 1 species
UACGGGGGGAGCAAGCGUUGUUCGGAUUUACUGGGCGUAAAGAGCGCGCAGGCGGUCGUUCAAGUCGAGUGUGAAAGCCCCCGGCUCAACUGGGGAGGGUCCAUUCGAUACUGAUCGACUCGAAGCAGGAGAGGGUAGUGGAAUUCCUGGUGUAGCGGUGAAAUGACGCAGAUAUCAGGAGGAACACCAAUGGCGAAGGCAGCUCGCUGGGGACGGUACUGACGCUGAGACGCGAAAAGCGUGGGGAGCAAAAACAGG